CCCCCCCUCAUGACCCAAAAAUAUUUUAAUUUUUUAAACAUUGUAAAAAAACAACAACAAAUAUUUAUUUAUUUCAUUUUUGAAGGACUAUCCCACCCAAGCUAUUGCUAUCAAACUUGAAAUAAAAUCUUAUUACUUUGUUUUAUGUCCUUACAAAUGUUCAAUAGAUUGUGAAAAAUAUACCUGAACUCAGAAUCGUCUAUAAAGUACAACUUCUUUAAAACAUAAGCAAUCAAUAGUUUCAAUUAUGGUUCUCUUCCACUUAGAAUAUGACUAAAUUACCUUGACCUUAUUGAAUAUGAACAAUUUUAUCCAUGAUGGCUGACGUUAUACUGUCGAUAGCUCGAAUAGUCCAGCGCGCUGUCUUCUGACAUCUCUUGUUAUCUAUUGAUGUUUGUUUUUAUUAUUAACAAUAUCUUAUUAUUGUUUUUAUGUCAUCAAAUAAUUAUGUGUUUUUGUUUUAUUUAAAAACAAUCUUAAAAGAUUGUUUUUAUUCAUUAAAACGUUAAUAGUUAAUAUUUGUAAAAAGUGUAAAAAUAAAUAAUAAUGGUAUUGGAUACAUUAUUUGGAAAUAAUACCAUGUUUUUUUAUGCUCCCCCAAAAAAAUUUGGGGGGAGCAUAUAGUCGCCGCUUCGUCUGUCCGCAUGUCCAUCCGUCCGUCCGUCCGUGCACAAUUUUUGUCCGGGCUAUUUCUCAGCAACUAAUGACCAGAAUUCAAUUAAACUUUAUGGGAAGCUUUACUACCAAGAGGAGAUGUGCAUUUUGUCAGGGGGUUUUGGUCGGAUGAUUUUUCACAGAGUUAUGGCCCUUUGAAAUUUUCCAUCAACUGUACAUAUAGUGCAAUUCUUGUCCGGGCUAUUUUUCAGCAACUAAUGACCGGAAUUAAAUGAAACUUUAUGGGAAGCUUCACUACCAAGAGGAGAUGUGCAUAUUAUCAGCCAGUUCUGGUCGGAUGAUUUUUCCCAGAGUUAUGGCUUUUAAAAUUUUCCAUUGUACAUAUAGUGCAAUUCUUGUCCGGGCUAUUUCUCAGCAACUUAUUACGGGAAUUCAAUGAAACUUUAUGGGAAGCUUCACUACCAACAGGAGAUGUGCAUAUUAUCAGCCAGUUAUGGUCGGAUGAUUUUUCACAGAGUUAUGGCCCUUUGAAAUUUUCCAUUGUACAUAUAGUGCAUUUCUUGUCCGAGCUAUUUCUCAGCAACUUAUCACGGGAAUUCAAUGAAACUUUAUGGGAAGCUUCACUACCAACAGGAGAUAUGCAUAAUAUCAGCCGGUUAUGGUUGGAUGAUUUUUCACAGAGUUAUAGCCCUUUGAAAUUUUCUAUAAAAAAAUUCUUGUCCCCCCAACUACUGUGCCCUCAAGAUGUUUCCCUUUAUCUGCAUAUAUAGUGCAAUAUUGUGAAAAAAAACAACUUUGGGGAGCAUCACCUGUCUCCGACGGUUUCUUGUAUUUUAUAAGUUAUGCAAGAUUUCGAAAUUUUCAUAAUAUUACUAUAUUUAUUUUUAAAUGGGAAAUAUAAUAAUAAAACAUUUGUCACAUAAUCAGUCAACAAAGUAAUAACACCUAAAAACACCAUAUCCCUUUUCACACCACUAAAAGUAACAAUUAACAGAUAAUCUGUCAGGCAUUCAGAGCUGAUGAGGGUACUGAUUAUCUAGGGGUAGAUAAGGCUAUUACUGAUAGGGGUUGCUUAGAGAUAAGGCUGUAGUACUUUGACAAAGUACUAAUAAUGAAAUAGUAACCUUAUAAUAUUAUUUAAAUCAAAUGCACACAUAUUAUACAAAAUACUUUAUUUCAAUUGUAUAUGUUGUAACACAGUUGAUAGAGAAAUACAUUGGUUGAAUUGCAUUUGACAAAAAUCACAAUGUCAUCUUUCAUUUACAUACUAUAUUUUAUUUUAUUUUCCCGUCAAAAUUGUGCUGCAAAGUCAAAAUUUUAACCCCAAAAUAUCUGCUCACAACUUAUUUUCAAAUAUGACAAAAGCAAAUGACAAUAAAAUCUCAUAUAAAUAUAUUGGGGUGAAUUGUCUUUUGGGGUGAAUUGUCCAUGGAAAUCAAAUUCUGGGUGUGAAUUGUCCAGGGGGUGAAUUGUCUUGGGGGUAAAUAGUCUAGCACCCUUCAGUUUUGACUGUCAAUGAGGGUCCAUAUGCAAGAAUCACUCUUGUCAGACCUAAUACCAUAAAUGUGAAUCUAACAUAAACUUGGUUUUGGGUUAACAAUCUUACGACAAAUGUAAGGUGCACUUCAAUAUUUUAUUUAAAUAAACACAUUUUUUAUUUUUAAACAAAGGUUUGUGAAAAAUCAAAAGACUAGUUUUAUAUUAGGAUAUUGAGCCAUCAUAGAUUAUAGACUCUUAUCAGCUAUGGUUCCUACUGUGGCACUAAGGUGACAUCACUGCUCCCCCCAAAAAAAGAAGUUGGGAAAACACAAGUUCUGUUUUCCCGUCUCCAAAAAACAAAAUUAACUCGUGAAAACAGACUUAUCUUGUGUUUCACAGAGUUAAUUUCUUUUUGGAGACGGGAAAACAGAACUUGUUUUUUCCUGACGUCCUUUUUUUUUGAAGCGGUGAUGUCACUUUUAUAGUACCACCGUAGGUUCCUGUGAUUUGCAAUUGUUAUUUCUAAUGUCUAUUGGUGUGCUCAUGAAUGUUCCAAAAAAGUUCACUUUAAGGUUUUAAUUGUCUAUCAAAUUGACUUGGCGGUUUUAUCUAGAAACAGCAAGUUCACUUAAAGGUCAUUGUCUAGCAAUAUUACGAAAAGGUCAUUGUCAAGCAAGUUCACUUAAAGGUCAUUGUCUAGCAAGUUCACUUAAAGGUCAUUAUAUUGCAAGUUCACUUAGUGCUGGUUAUUUAGCAAGUUCACUUUAAGGUUGUUGCCUAGCAAAUUCACUUAAAGACCAUUAUCUAGCAAGUUCACAUAAAGAUCAAUGUCUAGCAAGUUUACUUUAAGGUCAUUGUCUUGCAAGUUCACUUUAAGAUAAAUGUCUAUCCUGUUUAUUUAAGUUCAUUCAUUGGCUAGCAAGUUCACUUGAAGGUCAGUGUCUAGCACGUUCACGUAAAGAUUAUCUUCUAGAAAAAUCACUUAAAGGUCAUAGUCAUAGUCUAGAAAGUUCACUGAUCAAUGUCUAUCAAGUUCAUUUAAGGUCAUUGUUUAGCAAAGUCACUUCAAGAUUAUUGUCUAGCAAGUUCACCUAAAAAUCAUUGUCAAGCAAGUACACUGAAAGAUCAUUGUCUAGCAAGUUCACUUAAAGGUUAUUGUAUCGCAAGCUCACUCAAAGGUAAUUGUCUAUCAAGUUCACUUAAAGAUGACUGUGUAGCAAAGUUCACUUAUAUUCAUUGUCUAUCUAAUUCACUUUAUAGUUAGAUUAAUAAACCUAAUGAUAAUGCAAAAACUAUACUGCGAAUGUCUCCAUUACUCACACGAUACAUGUGCUAGCAUGAUAACCAGUAUGUUGCUCGGAUGAUGGAGACGUAUGAAAAAACCUGUGAAAUACCCUUGUUAUGGUUAAUUACGUGACAAUUUGCUGUAAGUUUGAAUAUAAACCUGUCGCACCAGCAUUUAAAAAAUGUAAUGUUCACCAUCGUUAUAAAGAUAUACAAUUGAUAGUAAUCAAAGUAUGUAGCCAAAAGAAAUGUAAACAGUCAAUAAUAGUGUCAUAGGCUAACCAUUAAAAUAACUAAAUAAACUACUCUUACAUCAAAACAACA